rnacentral:rRNA from 1 species
GAUGAACGCUGGCGGCGUGCCUAAUACAUGCAAGUCGAGCGAACGGACGAGAAGCUUGCUUCUCUGAUGUUAGCGGCGGACGGGUGAGUAACACGUGGAUAACCUACCUAUAAGACUGGGAUAACUUCGGGAAACCGGAGCUAACACCGGAUGAUAUUUUGAACCGCAUGGUUCAAAGGUGAAAGACGGUCUUGCUGUCACUUAUAGAUGGAUCCGCGCUGCAUUAGCUAGUUGGUAAGGUAACGGCUUACCAAGGCAACGAUGCAUAGCCGACCUGAGAGGGUGAUCGGCCACACUGGAACUGAGACACGGUCCAGACUCCUACGGGAGGCAGCAGUAGGGAAUCUUCCGCAAUGGGCGAAAGCCUGACGGAGCAACGCCGCGUGAGUGAUGAAGGUCUUCGGAUCGUAAAACUCUGUUAUUAGGGAAGAACAUAUGUGUAAGUAACUGUGCACAUCUUGACGGUACCUAAUCAGAAAGCCACGGCUAACUACGUG